AAGCGGUGGAGCAUGUGGUUUAAUUCGAUGAUACGCGAGGAACCUUACCUGGGCUCAAAUGUAUGUUGACGUAUUCUGAAAGGGAUACUUCUUCGGACAAUAUACAAGGUGCUGCAUGGUUGUCGUCAGCUCGUGCCGUGAGGUGUCGGGUUAAGUCCCAUAACGAGCGCAACCCUAUCAUUAGUUGCCAUCAGGUCAAGCUGGGGACUCUAAUGAAACUGCCUACGCAAGUAGUGAGGAAGGUGGGGAUGACGUCAAAUCAGCACGGCCCUUACGUCCAGGGCUACACACGUGCUACAAUGGCCGGUACAAAGGGCAGCUACCUGGUGACAGGAUGCUAAUCUCCAAAAGUCGGUCUCAGUUCGGAUCGGAGUCUGCAACCCGACUCCGUGAAGUUGGAUUCGCUAGUAAUCGCGCAUCAGCCAUGGCGCGGUGAAUACGUUCCCGGGCCUU
rnacentral:rRNA from 1 species